ensembl:snRNA U6 U6 spliceosomal RNA
GUACUUGCUUUGGCAGUACAUAUACUAAAACUGGAAAGAUACUGGGGAGAUUAGCAUGACCUCUGCAUGAGAACGACAUACAAAUUCAUGAAGUGUUCCAUAUUUUG